rnacentral:lncRNA from 1 species
UAACCAAUUCUGAUCAACUGACCUAUUGGUGUUUAAGAUAAGUUAAUGAGAUGUGAUUAUUUAAUUGAUUCUGUUAGCCGACCUGAUUAAUUUAUUGGUGUCUUAGGAAGGCAAUGGGGGGACCCCCAUCGAUCUCCACGUACCUGGCUAAUUUGGAAGAUUGGGUCUUGAAUUAGGUUGUUUAGUAAUCUGGUUUAGCCCAUGCCAGU